CACGUAGGAGGCGAGCGUUGUCCGGAAUCAUUGGGCGUAAAGAGCGCGCAGGCGGCUUGGCAAGUCGGGUGUGAAAUCCCGGGGCUCAACCCCGUGACUGCAUCCGAUACUGGAUGGCUUGAAUUCGGGAGAGGGAUGCAGAAUUCCAGGUGUAGCGGUGAAAUGCGUAGAUAUCUGGAGGAAUACCGGUGGCGAAGGCGGCAUCCUGGAGCCGACAUGACGCU
rnacentral:rRNA from 1 species